GAUGAACGCUGGCGGCGUGCCUAAUACAUGCAAGUCGAGCGAAAAGACGAGGCGCUUGCGCCUCUGACGUUAGCGGCGGACGGGUGAGUAACACGUGGAUACCCUACCUAUAAGACUGGGAACACUUCGGAAAACCGGCGAUAAUCGGGUAUGAUAUCUUGAACCGCAUGGUUCAAUAGUGAAAGACGGCGUUGCUGUAUCUAAUAGAGGCAUUCGCGCCGGUUUAGCUGGUUGGUGGGGUAACGGCUUACGAGGGGGACGAUGCCUAGCCGACCUGACGGGGUGUUCGGCCACACUGGAGCUGAGCCACGGUCCAGGCUCCGACGGGAGGCAGCAGCAGGGAAUCUUCCGCAAUGGGCGAAAGCCUGACGGAGCAACGCCGCGUGAGUGAAGAAGGUCUGCGGAUCGUAAAACUCUGUUAUUAGGGAAGAACAAAUGUGUAAGUAACGAUGCGCGUCUUGACGGUACCGAAUCAGAAGACCCCGGCGAACUCCGU
rnacentral:rRNA from 1 species